GAGAUCCUGAAACCGCAUGCAUACAAACAGGGGGAGCCCUGAAAGGGGUGACUGCGUACCUUUUGUAUAAUGGGUCAGCGACUUACGUUCUGUAGCGAGCUUAACCGAAUAGGGGAGGCGUAGCGAAAGCGAGUCUGAUAAGGGCGCUUUAGUUGCAGGGCGUAGACCCGAAACCAGAUGAUCUACCCAUGGCCAGGAUGAAGGUGCCGUAACAGGUACUGGAGGUCCGAACCCACUAAUGUUGAAAAAUUAGGGGAUGAGCUGUGGGUAGGGGUGAAAGGCUAAACAAAUCUGGAAAUAGCUGGUUCUCCCCGAAAGCUAUUUAGGUAGCGCCUCAUGUAUCACUCGCGGGGGUAGAGCACUGUAAUGGUUGGAGGGGUCAUUGCGAUCUACUCCGCCAUAGCAAACUCCGAAUACCGCGAAGUGCGAGCAUGGGAGACAGACGGUGGGUGCUAACGUCCAUCGUCAAGAGGGAAACAACCCAGACCGCCAGCUAAGGUCCCCAAGCCAUGGUUAAGUGGAAAACGAAGUGGGAAGGCAUAGACAGUCAGGAAGUUGGCUUAGAAGCAGCCAUCCUUCAAAGAAAGCGUAAUAGCUCACUGAUCGAGUCGUCCUGCGCGGAAGAUGUAACGGGGCUCAAACCAUGCACCGAAGCUGCGGAUGUGCGUAAGCACAUGGUAGGGGAGCGUUCUGUAGGUCUGCGAAGGUGUGGUGUAAACCAUGCUGGAGAUAUCAGAAGUGCGAAUGCUGACAUGAGUAGCGAUAAAGCGUGUGAAAAGCACGCUCGCCGAAAGCCCAAGGUUUCCUGCGCAACGUUCAUCGGCGCAGGGUGAGUCGGCCCCUAAGGCGAGGCCGAAAGGCGUAGUCGAUGGGAAACGGGUCAAUAUUCCCGUACCGAUCUGUAAUGCGAUGGGGGGACGGAGAAGGUUAGCUCAGCCGGGUGUUGGACGUCCCGGUUUAAGCGUGUAGGCGUGCUGCAUAGGCAAAUCCGUGCGGCUUAGCUGAGGCGUGAUGACGAGGAUCUUCGGAUCUGAAGUGAGUGAUACCCAGCUUCCAGGAAAAGCCUCUAAGCUUCAGUUACAGAUUGACCGUACCGCAAACCGACACAGGUGGGCAGGAUGAAAAUUCUAAGGCGCUUGAGAGAACUCAGGAGAAGGAACUCGGCAAAUUGAUACCGUAACUUCGGGAGAAGGUAUGCCUCGGUAGCGUGAAGCCCCUGCGGGUGGAGCGUGAUGAGGUCGCAGAGAAUCGGUGGCUGCAACUGUUUAAUAAAAACACAGCACUCUGCAAAGGCGAAAGCCGACGUAUAGGGUGUGACGCCUGCCCGGUGCCGGAAGGUUAAGUGAUGGGGUGCAAGCUCUUGAUCGAAGCCCCGGUAAACGGCGGCCGUAACAAUAACGGUCCUAAGGUAGCGAAAUUCCUUGUCGGGUAAGUUCCGACCUGCACGAAUGGCGUAAUGAUGGCCACACUGUCUCCUCCUGAGACUCAGCGAAGU
rnacentral:rRNA from 1 species